UCCGUAGGGUGCGAGCGUUAUUCGGAAUUACUGGGCGUAAAGCGUGCGCAGGCGGUUAUGUAAGUCCGGUGUGAAAUCCCCGGGCUUAACCUGGGAACUGCAUUUGUGACUGCAUCGCUGGAGUGCGGCAGAGGGGGAUGGAAUUCCGCGUGUAGCAGUGAAAUGCGUAGAUAUGCGGAGGAACACCGAUGGCGAAGGCAAUCCCCUGGGCCUGCACUGACGCUCAUGCACGAAAGCGUGGGGAGCAAACAGG
rnacentral:rRNA from 1 species